ACUCAAAUGAAUAGACGGGGACCCGCACAAGCGGUGGAUGAUGUGGAUUAAUUCGAUGCAACGCGAAAAACCUUACCUACGCUUGACAUGCCAGAAACCCCGCAGAGAUGUGGGGGUGCCCGAAAGGGAAUCUGGACACAGGUGCUGCAUGGCUGUCGUCAGCUCGUGUCGUGAGAUGUUGGGUUAAGUCCCGCAACGAGCGCAACCCUUGUCCUUAGUUGCUACGCAAGGGCACUCUAAGGAGACUGCCGGUGACAAACCGGAGGAAGGUGGGGAUGACGUCAAGUCCUCAUGGCCCUUAUGUGUAGGGCUUCACACGUCAUACAAUGGUCGGUACAGAGGGUCGCCAACCCGCGAGGGGGAGCCAAUCCCAGAAAGCCGAUCGUAGUCCGGAUUGCACUCUGCAACUCGAGUGCAUGAAGUCGGAAUCGCUAGUAAUCGCGGAUCAGCAUGUCGCGGUGAAUACGUUCCCGGGUCUUGUACACACCGCCCGU
rnacentral:rRNA from 1 species